rnacentral:ncRNA from 1 species
CGCAUAUUAGGAGAUGGCAUGCCUCCUUAAACCGCCACUGCACAUUCGCAGUGGCUGAUGAUGCCUACGCAGGG